rnacentral:lncRNA from 1 species
UGAAUCUUAAUCGGUCAAGAACUUUAAUCGGCCAAAUGGUAGCAAAGAGCAAACUGGCCGGGGAAAAGGAGCAACAAUCAAGAAACUGAUCAAGACAAUCAUUGAAAAUAAGACAACAGCACACUCGAACCAUGGCUAGAACUUCUAGGUGGUGAGAGGCUAAUUCAUUUCGAGAUGCGUAGUAGAAUAGAAGCUUGGAUAGCUAAUAUCUAAGACCAAUUCGGCAACCUCAUUGGCUCAGGGAUAACGUGAAUCGGGGCUAGGAACGGUAAGAACCAAGACCAAAUAGGACUGGCUCAUGUGACAACUGAUCAACGAACUUGAGAAAUAGACAAAACGAUUUCUGGCUCUGAC